rnacentral:lncRNA from 1 species
CAAUGAUUCAAAACCCCAAAUUCAUUAUUACUUUUCACAAACAAAUAUUAGAAGAAUGAUAAACAAACCAUAUUCAUUGAAAUGGAACACCGUUAAAAUUGAAUUUGUAAUUCCAAUUUUGUUGAUUACCAUAUCAGAUGUGAUAAUAAGCAUCAGCGCCCUUAUUCAAUACCUACUAUUACUUACUCGCUUGCUUACCGCCAGUAGAUCAUCGAUGAUCUACAUGUGAUGACGUCAUAGUUUGUUAGAGAUCAGUUGUGGGGCCUGAAGUAAUAGUAGGUAUUGGUUAAAGCCGAUUUGAAUCGAUCUUGAAUAUAGCUUGCUACGCAUUCCCUUGAAUUUUGUUUCUAUUGUGAGUGUCGAACAAUCCUCGAGUAGCCUAUUUUACAUUGUCUUCUUUACAUUGUCUAUUUCUCAUUGUCACUUCCAAAAUCUCCUCUAAUACAGGGGAGAAGAGAUCAACCUGUAGUGUUCAUCCCACACAGCACAAAAAGUUUAAAAAACGUUUAAUAAAUUAAUAAAUGUUUAAAAUGUAUAAAUCCGAUAAACGUUAUGAAAACAACGUUCAAUAAACGUUAGGGAAUUUUACUAAAAUGAACGUUUACUCUAUAAACGUUUAAUAAACGUCUAGAAUGUAUAUUGCUGAUAAACGUUAUGAAAACAACGUUUGAUAAACUUAGAAAUGUUUACUAAAAUAAACGUUAGAAAGGUUGGUACAGUAUGGAAUUUCUACAGUACCUACCCAGUCAACACACUAAGUGAAAAUGUUAUAAGUGAAAAUCAAACAUUUUUUUCAGAAGGUGUCUCCUCCCCCCUCACCUGUGUAUCUUAAUCCCUAAAAAUGUCUCAAUUUAGGCUUUCUGACCAAUAUUCCUAAGUGGAAUUGAAUUCCAAUCCCUUUCUAUCUUCUUCAAAAAUCGUCUCCAACUCACCGUUAUCGAGAUAAAGAAAAUGUUUUACACAAAUUAAGACUGAAAUUUUUUGAGUUUUCCAAAAAGUCUCAUUUUAAGCUUUUUGUUAAUCAAUUCAGGUGCAGAAUUGCAAUUCAAAUACUUUUUGUCUUCUGCGAAAAUCGUCUAAAAUGCACUGUUAACGAUAUAAUUGACCUUUUGCGCUAAAUCCAGAGGGACUUGCCAGAUGUUCAAGUUUCCCAAAAAAGUCGAAAAAUUGUAUUUCUAAUCAAUAGUUCGGAUGCAGAAUUGAAUUUCAAACACUUUUUGUCUCUUGCGAAAAUUGUCUACAACGUACUGUUGAUGAUAUAAUAGACCUUUUGCGCUAAUUUUAAUCCAAAUAGGGACUUGGAAAAAAUUUGAUCGAUUUCUAAGUUUCCCAAAAAUGUUCAAAAAAGCAGUCUUUUAUCACUUAUUCGGCUACAGAAGUAGAUUUCCAGCACUUCUUCUCAAUGCAAAAAUCCCGUCAGAUGGGCCGUUGACGGGCUACUAACGUUUAAAAUUUUAAAUAAUUGGUAAUUGAUGAUGAAAAAUUUUGAAAAAAAUAAUUAACGAUUCUGUUCAUGUUAUAAACAUUGUCCUAGAAUUUCAAAUGUUUCCAUCCAAAAUUGAGAAAGUUAUAUCAUUUUUUCAAAUUAGAUUCCAGUUUGUGCUGAAAAUCAUGUCACACACCAAGCCUAUGAAAUAAUUUUCAAGUUUCAAAUUCAAAUAAUAAUAAACUAGGUACUAUUUUAUUGAUUCCAACAUUAUUUCAGUGGAAGCACAAAUGUCCCCAUAAAGAAAUCAUUAAUCCAUCCCAGAAAUAUGGACUGUUUUAAUGUUAACAAUAAAGAUUGUCUAUAUCAAUAACUUUGAAACUCCCGGGGUGAUUCGUGCUUGUGCACUACUGCGCUUGAGCGACAGCCAUUAAAGAUGUCCUCGUCCUGUCUUCUUCAGUUUUCAGUAGUUGAAGAUGAAGUAUUGCAGUAUUGGUUUGUUGUUUGUUUAUCCUUUAUUUUAUCGCGUCAUCAAGUUGAUGAUGAUUUUUGAUUGCUGAAGGUCUUAAAUUAAGACGAAGGUGGGAAUAGAACUGCAGAUACAUAUUAUACUAAAAUCCACCAUGACAGAUGAAUAUGAUGCCAAGGAUUAGAUUUGAAAAAAGUUCUUCUCCUUUACAUUUGAUGAAAGCCAUUUUCAGCAAAGGUGGGAAUAGAACUGCAGACGCAUAUACCAAAAUCCACCAUGACAGACGAAUAUGCUGCCAACUACAGUUUUAGAUUUAAAACUCCUUUCUACAUCUGAUGGAAACCAUUUUCAGUAAGUUGCACUAUACUAUUUCCUAAU